rnacentral:rRNA from 1 species
AGCGAACGUUAGCGGCGGGCCUAACACAUGCAAGUCGAACGGGAAUAGGGGAGCAAUCCCCUUAGUACAGUGGCGGACGGGUGCGUAACACGUGGGUAAUCUACCUUCCAGCGGGGGACAACCGUCCGAAAGGAUGGCUAAUACCGCAUACGUCGGCGAGGGCUAUGGCUCUUGUCGGGAAAGAUGGCCUCUCUUCAGAAGCUGUCACUGGAAGAUGAGCUCGCGUCCCAUCAGCUAGUUGGUGAGGUAACGGCUCACCAAGGCUUAGACGGGUAGCUGGUCUGAGAGGAUGAUCAGCCACACUGGAACUGCGACACGGUCCAGACUCCUACGGGAGGCAGCAGUGGGGAAUAUUGGGCAAUGGGCGCAAGCCUGAUCCAGCCAUGCCGCGUGAGUGAUGAAGGCCUUAGGGUUGUAAAGCUCUUUCGGACGGGACGAUAAUGACGGUACCCGCAGAAGAAGCCCGGCUAACUUCGUGCCAGCAGCCGCU